UACGUAGGGCGCAAGCGCUGUCCGGAAUCAUUGGGCGUAAAGAGCGUGUAGGCGGCUUGUUAAGUCUUGCGUGAAAUCUCGGGGCUCAACCCCGAGCGGUCGUGAGAAACUGGCAGGCUAGAGUGCGGGAGAGGAGAGUGGAAUUCCUGGUGUAGCGGUGAAAUGCGCAGAUAUCAGGAAGAACACCCGUGGCGAAGGCGGCUCUCUGGAACGCAACUGACGCUGAGACGCGAAAGCGUGGGGAGCAAACAGG
rnacentral:rRNA from 1 species